rnacentral:rRNA from 1 species
CACGUAGGGUGCGAGCGUUGUCCAGAAUUAUUGGGCGUAAAGAGCUCGUAGGCGGUGUGUCGCGUCGGCCGUGAAAACCUGCAGCUUAACUGUGGGCUUGCGGUCGAUACGGGCAUCACUGGAGUUCGGCAGGGGAGACUGGAAUUCCUGGUGUAGCGGUGAAAUGCGCAGAUAUCAGGAGGAACACCGGUGGCGAAGGCGGGUCUCUGGGCUGAUACUGACGCUGAGGAGCGAAAGCGUGGGGAGCGAACAGG